rnacentral:rRNA from 1 species
AGAGUUUGAUCCUGGCUCAGAUUGAACGCUGGCGGUAUGCUUAACACAUGCAAGUCGAACGGUAACAGGCCUUCGGGCGCUGACGAGUGGCGGACGGGUGAGUAACGCGUAGGAAUCUGCCUUAUAGUGGGGGACAACGUGGGGAAACCCACGCUAAUACCGCAUACGCCCUACGGGGGAAAGGAGGGGAUCUUCGGACCUUUCGCUAUGAGAUGAGCCUGCGUUAGAUUAGCUAGUUGGUAGGGUAAAGGCCUACCAAGGCGACGAUCUAUAGCUGGUCUGAGAGGACGAUCAGCCACACUGGGACUGAGACACGGCCCAGACUCCUACGGGAGGCAGCAGUGGGGAAUAUUGGACAAUGGGCGAAAGCCUGAUCCAGCAAUACCGCGUGUGUGAAGAAGGCCUUAGGGUUGUAAAGCACUUUCAAUUGGGAGGAAAACCUGCCGGUCAAUACCCGGUAGCUUGACAUUACCUUUAGAAGAAGCACCGGCUAACACCGUGCCAGCAGCCGCGGUAAUACGGAGGGUGCGAGCGUUAAUCGGAAUUACUGGGCGUAAAGCGUGCGUAGGUGGUUCGUUAAGUCAGAUGUGAAAGCCCUGGGCUCAACCUGGGAACUGCAUUUGAAACUGGCGGACUAGAGUUUAGUAGAGGGGAGUGGAAUUUCAGGUGUAGCGGUGAAAUGCGUAGAUAUCUAAAGGAACACCAGUGGCGAAGGCGACUCCCUGGACUAAAACUGACGCUGAGGUACGAAAGCGUGGGUAGCAAACAGGAUUAGAUACCCUGGUAGUCCACGCCGUAAACGAUGUCGACUAGCCGUUGGUCCUAUUUA